CUAAGAUCAUGUCCUUAACACACCAUCCAAUAGACAUAACAAACAGACUUCAGAAUGGCUGCCAAGGUACUUAGGCCACCGGAAAUACUCGGUUCAUCCAACAAUUCAGCUUUUUACUGGAAAGGAGCAAAGUGAUUCUUGGAAGGGGGAAAAGGCAACUGCUUGCAGUUUUCCACCCUCACCAAGUAGACUAUUCACAUGUGUGUAAGUAACUCAGAAGAAAGACAGCAGUUUUGCACUGGAGAUCCCACUUUCUCCAGGGUUGGGAAUUCACUGUGUCUGGAGCGAUGUAAAGGAAUGAGCAGCAGCAGCAGCAGCAGCGACAGCAGCAGCAGCGGCAGCAGCAGCAGCGACAGCAGCAGCAGCGACAGCAGCAGCAGCGACAGCCAGAGUGCUCAUUGCUUUCUGAACGAGGAAAGGGAAAGCAGGAACUUGACCACUGUUUCAACAUGCUCUGAACGCCAAAGAUAGAAAACUGAACAAAAGGAACUUGGUCACUAUUCAGCUUCCUGUUGUCUUGAUCUCCCCAUCUGUGAAACACUACUCAAUUAAUUAACUAUUGAUGGCGACAUCUAGCACCAAAGACCUGUGACUUUACAACUGUUACAAGGACAUAGCAAAUGCAUAUAGCAGGUCGUGUUGUGCUUGGUGCUUCACCAAUACAUCAGUUCUACCAGGCUCGCCGUGAGCACACGUGUCACGAUUUGCCACUGCCAUGCUGGACACAUCUCAUCAUUCUCAGUACCUCCACAGUGUCAGAUGCAUACUUUCCUGUAUUUGUCAUAAGCUAUGAUCUAUCCUGACUCCAACCGUUAGCACAGACUCAAGCAACUAAUAGCUAAUGGAUGACCACUUAUAGAGUGACCAGCAAUCAGAUUCACUUGCUAACUGGCCAAGUGCCCAAAGACCUCAUAGAAUAUGGACACAGAGAAAGCUUCGAAACGUGGGUGCCAGUGUUGAGCAUGAAGAGCAAGAAAUACGGGCCGGAGCAGCCUUGUCUGUCAAAGCUGUUUGUCAAAGGUAUGCUGUUGGCAGAGAUGCUGGGAGAGUUUGGGUAAAGCUACUGCUCUGAGGGAAGAAGCUCAGGAUCUGACGGUCUCUGAGGAGAAACUAGGACAAGGCAUUUCUUUCCCUGGGACGCUGGAGUUGGAUGGGAUGAACUGCUCUGAGGCAGGCAUAGGCAGCCACUCGACCCAGCUGCAUUGUAUGUUGCACAGGAGGGACCCCAACAUUCUCUACCUCACACCGCCCCAUCAGACAGUGUUUAGGAAAGCUUUGCCUUCCAUGGAUCUCAUAGGGCUGGCAGAGGAGACCAAGUGGUCGCCAUGAUUGUCCAUGGAAUUCCCUUUGGGACCACAGUAAAGUUGACACUGUUGGCAUCAUUUGUCAUACUGGACAAUAUUUCCUGUGGAAUAAAUUCUCUCUCUCUCUCUCUCUCUCUCUCUCUCUCUCUCUCUCUCGAUACCAGAGAUCCCCUUCUUCCCUAAAAAGUCCUUGGAGCAGAGCCAAGACUCUGACAAACAUAUUGGCAUAUCUCCAAUAGGAGAUGGAGGUGCCUUUCUUAGUGUGUAAUAAUCGUUCGGACUAAAGAGUUUCUUUGUGCUGUUUUCAUCCAUGCAUACAACACGCUUUGGUCAAAUUCACUUCCUCCUACGUCUCAGUUACCAGCCCCCUUCAUCAUCCUGAUUCCCUUUUUCUCCCCUCACAGACCCCUCUAUCUCUGUCUUUUACCAAUAGAGUUUUGUUUGUUUUUGUUUUCUUCACAAGUUUAUCUGGGGGAUUCACAGACACUGCUAACUCACCACAUCCGUGUUUGAAGUUGCCAUCUCUGCCACUCUCUGUCAUGAGUCAUAAUCUCAUUCCACAAGCAGGUACAGACCUGGAGACCGGUUAAUGCAAAGCUGAGCUCCUAGGCACUUAGCGCGGGAAUCUAACCAAGACGAUGACCAGGAGUUUGGAAAGUCACAGGGAGAAGAGUCUGAAUCCUGUUCCACUACCUCUCUUAGAUGGCCAAAGCUCACCUGCCUAGGGCUGGUACCGCAUGCAGUGGGCUGGACUCUCCUACACCAAUUAGCAACCACGGACCAAUUUGAGCUGAGCAAUUCCUCAGCUGAGGUUCCCUCUUCCGUGAUUUGUCAACAACCAAGACUAACCAUGGCAAUGUGUAUCUGGUGUGCGCAUACGUGUGUGCAGGUGCACUGACACGAGGAUGUCCAGUGUCUUCUCUGUCACUCUACACUGAUUCCUUUGAGAUCUGGUCUCUGCGGAACCUGGGGCCAGGCUGGAGAUGUCCUGCUUACUUCAGCUCCAAGGCUAGGGUUCCAGAUGAGCACACCACCGUGUGAAUACUGGGAUCUGAACUCAUGACCUCAUGCUGGUGCAGCAGGCGCUCUCACCGACUGGGCCACCUCCUCAGCAUCUCCUCCUAGCCCUGAACUAGUCACAUGAUCUUUUUUCAGGUUUCUGUGCUGAUAAGACAUUUCUAGAGCUGGUAACAGACAGCUUCAAACUAUUAGUAGAAGGAUUUGGGAGUGAAUGCUACUGAUGCCACCAUCUAACUUCUUAUUUUCUUUACAUUUUUUUGAACCAUGAUUUUUUUUCACACCUUACAGUUUGACACUAAUCACCUGAAAUCAGUCCCUUGUUUUUCACCCUUGCAUUUUCCUGCCUUGAGCUUUUCAGUGAUAUACAAAUAUUGCUUGUGUCUUUGAUGGACAUUAGUUUCCUUAGAGAGAUCUUGUUUGUGUAGAUCUAUCUUUGUAAAACAUAGUUUUGCAUUUUAUAAAGUAGAAAUUUAUACCAAUCAAAAAGUUUUGAUCAAACUAGGGCUCUUGGGAGCUCUUGCUAUUUAACACAAUUGAUGGUCACAUAUGACAUAAAUUUCUUUUGCUUCUUCAGCCACUAGCAUCUCUAUUGCUUCUUAGAAAUUCACUCAUGCCGAAUGCAGUCCACAAGAUCAGAGAGCCACUGGGAAUAGCGUGUCACUGAACCCACAGUGCCUGCGAAGGAAAGUGGAUGUUUGACUUAUGGAUGGUUAACCAGAGCAAGCCUGCAGGAACUACUGAGUUGAUGUUCCUGUUUCUGUGUCAGGGAAUUUAGAGUUGGUGAAGUCUGUCCUCUGCCUAAGAAUGCCAUUUUGAAAACUGAGAAGAUGAGAGAUGGAGGGAGAAACAGACACUAUGAUACUGACGCCAUUGCCUGAUCCAUAGACCUUACUGGGUCCUGUGGCUGUAUAAAUGUUUAUGCUACACAAAAAUAAAGUUGAUGAAUUACUAAAUUUAUUACAGUAUUUACCCUAUUGCUUAAAGAGCACAUUGGCCAUAUUAAUGUCUUAUUAUCUCAUGUCUGUGAGUAGAUUUUAAAAUUUAUUUUUUGUAAUUUGUAUGACUGUCUUGUUUGCCUGUGUCUAUACAAUGCAUUCAUGACUGGUGCCUCUGAAGACCAGGAGAGAGCAGAACAAGGCAUCAGGUCCCCUGGAACUGGACUUACAGAUGGUUAUGGGUCACUAUGUGAGUGCCAGGAAUCAAACCUUGGUCCUCUGGAAGAGUGUUCAGUGCUCUUAACUGUUGAGCCAGCUCUCCAACUUCUUCCGGCCCUAGAAGAUGCUCAGUGCCUUGGAUCACAAUGCCCCAUUAAAUGGCAAUAAUGGAUGUUUAAUAAAUACUUCUGUGAGAAUCUAAAAUCUAUCCUUGAAAUAAUACAACUAGAUAUUCAUAUAUUAGUAAUAUAAUGAUUUUAUAUUACUAAACAAGAGGUUAAAUUUUUUAAAACUGAAAAGAACAUUUAUUUUGUAUUCUAUAUAUGGAAAUAUUAAUACAACACAAGUCCAGGUUUUAUGAUGAUCAACUCUUAAUAUUUAUAAACAAGAAAUUGGAAACUCGUUGAUUUAAAAAUAUCUAAAAAAGACUUUACACCUGCUGUGGG